UACAGAGGUCUCAAGCGUUGUUCGGAUUCAUUGGGCGUAAAGAGCUCGUAGGCGGCUGCUCAAGUCGAAUGUGAAACCUCGAGGCUUAACCUCGAGCCUGCAUUCGAUACUGGGCGGCUAGAGUCUGGUAGGGGGAUCUGGAAUUCCUGGUGUAGCGGUGAAAUGCGCAGAUAUCAGGAGGAACACCGGUGGCGAAGGCGGGUCUCUGGGCCGAUACUGACGCUGAGGAGCGAAAGCGUGGGGAGCGAACAGG
rnacentral:rRNA from 1 species